rnacentral:rRNA from 1 species
UACGGAGGGUGCAAGCGUUAUCCGGAUUUACUGGGUUUAAAGGGUGCUUAGGCGGGCAUGUAAGUCAGUGGUGAAAUACCGGAGCUUAACUUCGGAACUGCCAUUGAUACUAUAUGUCUUGAAUAUUGUGGAGGUAAGCGGAAUAUGUCAUGUAGCGGUGAAAUGCAUAGAUAUGACAUAGAACACCGAUUGCGGAGGAAGCUUGCGACGCAAAUACUGACGAUGAGGCACGAAAGCGUGGGGAGCAAACAGG